CUGGUUCCUGUGGACUUUCACCCAGGCAGCAGGAAGGAAGGCACAGCCAGGACAGCAGAUACUCUGCUCCACUUCAUCUUCUUUGAAUCCCUCCUGGAAAUGUAGAGAAAGGAAAACAGAUCUUUCCAACACCACUGAAUCAAGCCAGGACAAGAUCAUUUGUACAUCUUAUUUGGCUGGAUUUAAUUCAACUCUACUUCAUUGCCAUUGAAAGGCUAGAUAAUAGCAGGACGAUGGGAAGUGGUUUUAAAUUGAAGGAGAGAAGAUUUAGGUUGGAUAUCAGGGGGAUGUUCUUUCCUAUGAGAGUGAUGAGGUGCUGGAACAGUUGCUCAGAGAGGCUGUGGAUGCCCCGUCCAUCCCUGGAGGUGUUCAAGGCCAGGUUGGAUGGGGCCCUGGGCAGCCUGGGCUGGUAUGAAAUGUGGAGGUUGGUGGCCCUGCCUGUGGUGGGGGGUUGGAGUUUCGUGAUCCUUGAGGUCCCUUCCAACCCAACCAUUCUGUGAUUCUGUGAAAAAGCAGCUGGGAGAACACAUUGCUGUGGCUCAGGAUGGGCAAAUACCCAUCCCCUGAGCUUCGGAGGGCCUUCCUCAUUACCCAUGUCCACAUUUGUGAACUGUGCUCCAUAUGGACCAAGGUCCCAACCCCAAAGCAAGAAAAACCCCAUUAAACAUCUAGAUAGGGACUCAGAAGUUGGCUUCUGCAGCUGAGCCCCAUCCUCAAGCACUGUAAACUUCUGCUUACGUGAGAAGUUCACCUUGGUCCAUACAACUGCCCAACUGGGGUAUCCCACAGUAUCCCCAGUACAAGGACCAGUUCUCAGCCAGAACAGAGGUGCCCAAAAAAUAAAACAGAGCUCUCCUAAGCUGUUGUCCUCUGAGUGCUGUGCCAUCCUUCCCCGCCUUGACGCAAUGGUUGGCACCACUGCUCCUCUCUAACCUCUCUACUUCCUCCUGCAGGUAAGGUGUAGCGAGGCCAAGCAAGUGACGUGCUCAGGAGCUAUGCUCUGCUCUGGCUGGUCAAACGGAACCAAGCCCGUCUUCCUCGGAGGUUUGGUCCCCUUCAACCAGCUAUAGCAGUGUUGAAAACAUCGCACCAGGAAAGUGUGCCUCCAUCCAUCUCAGCUCAACCCUGACAGCCUCUCCUCCUGCAUGGAUCUGCUGCCCCUGAGGAAAUGAGUCACCAGAAAAGAUGUGGGACAGGUUUUGACUUUACUCAGCUUCUCUGCAAGAGUGCUUGCCCGUGCAAGGUCCACAUGAUCCUACCUGCUCAGCAUUACCAAAGACCCCAAAUAUCAGAGGAAAAAGCAACCAGGACCAAAAAGAUCAAAAAUCCAGCUUCAUUUCCUGCUAAAUUAGUUUAUAAAAAGAAAUAAAACCAUUUUGUUCUGCUUUGCAUUGAAUCUGAGAGUCAUUUCAGUCCCGCUAGAUAGCUUUCAGAAAUCAAGAAAUAGAGGGGUUGCUCUGAAAGUAAUGCCUCCUAUCUGAUGAUGCUGACCCAUGAUGCCAGAGGUGGAUGCUGGUGGGAUGGCAGUAGAGGCCGAACCUCCCCACCAAUAUUCCAUUGCAUUUUGCUUCCACGUGACAGCUGGCAGCAGAGAGGCAGUCUGACACAAUGGCGUCUGAUAUGGAAAUGCAUAGGAAGUAAAAGGGUGUCACUGAAUUCCUCCAUGCAGAAAAAAUGGUACCUAGUGAUGUUCAUCAACACUUCCUGGAUGUUCAGGGACACCAACCCGUGGGUGUGAGCACAGUGAGAGGUGGCAACAGUGGCUCACCUCUGCUGGUGCACUGCAUGCACCAGCACUGCAUGCAGGCUCUCAUUCAUCACUGGUGAAAAU
ensembl:lncRNA